CUACGGGCGGCACCAGCUAGGAAACUUCUGCAAUGUACGAAAGUAUGACAGAGCGAGCCAGAGUGAUUCUCUAUAAUUGAGUAUCUUUUGUGUGAUGUAAAAAGUCGCACGAAUAAGGACUGGGCAAGACUGGUGCCAGCCGCCGCGGUAAUACCAGCGGUCCAAGUCGCAGCCACAUUUAUUGGGUCUAAAACAUCCGUAGCUUGUUUUGUAAGUCUCUUGUGAAAUCUGGCUCCUCAAGGGUCGGGCGCGCAAGAGAUACUGCAAGACUAGAGACCGGGAGACGUAAGGAGUACGCAAUGGGUAGCGGUUAAAUGCGUUGAUCCUUUGUGGACUAACGAUAGCGAAGGCACCUUACGAGAACGGAUCUGACAGUGAGGGAUGAAGGCUAGGGGCGCAAAACGGAUUAAUACCCUCGUAGUC
rnacentral:rRNA from 1 species